AUGGACAAGCCAUCUAUUUAUCUAACACAGCUACUGACAUGCUAUUUACAGUGGCAUAGUGCUGAAAGUCCCCCUGGCCGCACAUACUGUCUGCAGAAGGGAGAGCUGCGGACAUUCCCUGCCCGACGUAACAUGUGGGGUAUCUUCCGAUGCGUCUCUCUUACUGCAAAGCCAUGCUUUUUCAUUACAUUUGGCCCAUUCUGCUAUAAAGUGUGCCCUCUGCAAAAUAGCACCUCAGCUUUCACAGCCCCAAUGCCGCUCCCUCUAAAAAUCAAUGGCAAAACUCCCACUGAUUUCAGCAUGCACACACCAAUCCUGUUCUACCGUACAAUAACUCUUCUAGCCAAAUCCUAACUGCGUGUGUGGAUACGUAGGAGAGCUCAUUCUGUAACAGCUUAAACUGUAGCCGUAUCAUUUUAUGCACAGUAUAAAGCAUAAUAUUCAAAGCAAAAUAAUCAGAUUUAUAGCUGAUCUAUAGAAAUACACACAUGCACUCCUUUAGCAUGCCUGCUUUGAGCAAUGAGCCCAGUUCACCUGGAUCGUUAGGGUUCAGAGGGGCUCUUAGUCAUUAUUAAUUAGAAUUGUGUCCUUGUUUCCUGUAGAGCCGGAAAUGAGAACCUCCAGCAACCUCUGUCCACCUUCACAGGACGUCUUGCCCUUCCACUGUGGCUGUCUCCUCUGAUUCCAUCUCCAUAUCAGACACAGUUGCUGGUCCCAACAUUAGCAGCCGGAAGGCUAGUAAGGGAGUCAGGGAUUUCAGAAGUCUGGAAGAUGAUCUAUCCCUCGCCUCCACUCCAAUGCUUCUAGGAAACUUACUCCACUAUCUGCCACCCAGUCAUAUGUCCUUCCGCUAGCCAUCCCCUUUCCUACCACUAAGCCCCCAGUUAAUUGUUCCUCUCCAGUUAUGAACUGCUACAAUGUCCUUCACCAUCCUCCAAAACCAUCCCAAGUUCCUUAUCAUCAUCAAGAACAAUUCCCCCCCCCCCCGCAAGGAAAGUUACACAUCUUCUU
rnacentral:lncRNA from 1 species